rnacentral:rRNA from 1 species
UACGUAGGGGGCAAGCGUUGUCCGGAAUUACUGGGCGUAAAGGGUGCGUAGGCGGCCUAAUAAGUUAGGGGUUAAAGCCCUCGGCUCAACCGAGGUAAGCCUUUAAAACUGUUAGGCUUGAGUGCAGGAGAGGAGAGUGGAAUUCCUUGUGUAGCGGUGAAAUGCGUAGAUAUUAGGAGGAACACCAGUGGCGAAGGCGACUCUCUGGACUGCAACUGACGCUGAGGCACGAAGGCGUGGGGAGCGAACAGGAUUAGAUACCCUGGUAGUCCACGCCGUAAACGAUGAGUACUAGGUGUUGGGGUCGACAGGCUUCAGUGCCGCAGUUAACACAUUAAGUACUCCGCCUGGGGAGUACGGUCGCAAGACUGAA